rnacentral:rRNA from 1 species
UACGGAGGGUGCGAGCGUUGUCCGGAAUCAUUGGGCGUAAAGGGCGCGUAGGUGGCCCCUCAAGCGUGCGGUGAAAGUCAGGGGCUCAACCCCUGAUCGGCCGUGCGAACUGGGGAGCUUGAGCACUGUAGAGGCAGGCGGAAUUCCGGGUGUAGCGGUGGAAUGCGUAGAGAUCCGGAAGAAGACCGGUGGCGAAGGCGGCCUGCUGGGCAGUAACUGACACUGAGGCGCGACAGCGUGGGGAGCAAACAGG